rnacentral:rRNA from 1 species
GACGAACGCUGGCGGCGUGCUUAACACAUGCAAGUCGAACGAUGAAGCCGGAGCUUGCUCUGGUGAAUUAGUGGCGAACGGGUGAGUAACACGUGAGUAACCUGCCCUUGACUCUGGGAUAACUGCUAGAAAUGGUAGCUACUACCGGAUACGACCCUCGGAGGCAUCUCCAGGGGGUGGAAAGAAUUUCGGUCAAGGAUGGACUCGCGGCCUAUCAGCUAGUUGGUGAGGUAAUGGCUCACCAAGGCGACGACGGGUAGCCGGCCUGAGAGGGUGACCGGCCACACUGGGACUGAGACACGGCCCAGACUCCUACGGGAGGCAGCAGUGGGGAAUAUUGCACAAUGGGCGCAAGCCUGAUGCAGCAACGCCGCGUGAGGGAUGACGGCCUUCGGGUUGUAAACCUCUUUUAGUAGGGAAGAAGCGAAAGUGACGGUACCUGCAGAAAAAGCACCGGCUAACUACGUGCCAGCCGCCGCGGUAA